rnacentral:rRNA from 1 species
CAAGUCGGACGGGAUUCAGGUGCUUGCACCUGAUGAGAGUGGCGCACGGGUGCGUAACACGUAUGUAACCUACCUUUGUCAGGGGGAUAGCCUCUCGAAAGAGAGAUUAAGCCCGCAUAACAUCAUUUUAUGGCAUCAUAGGAUGAUCAAAUAUUUAUAGGACAAAGAUGGGCAUGCGGAACAUUAGCUAGUUGGCGAGGUAAUGGCUCACCAAGGCUACGAUGUUUAGGGGAUCUGAGAGGAUGACCCCCCACACUGGUACUGAGACACGGACCAGACUCCUACGGGAGGCAGCAGUAAGGAAUAUUGGUCAAUGGACGGAAGUCUGAACCAGCCAUGCCGCGUGCAGGAAGACGGCCCUACGGGUUGUAAACUGCUUUUGUACCGGAAUAAACCUCAGGUCGUGACCUGGGCUGAAUGUACGGUAAGAAUAAGGAUCGGCUAACUCCGUGCCAGCAGCCGCGGUAAUACGGAGGAUCCGAGCGUUAUCCGGAUUUAUUGGGUUUAAAGGGUGCGUAGGCGGCCUAUUAAGUCAGGGGUGAAAGACGGUAGCUUAACUAUCGCAGUGCCUUUGAUACUGAUAGGCUUGAAUGUACUUGAGGUAGGCGGAAUGUGACAAGUAGCGGUGAAAUGCAUAGAUAUGUCACAGAACACCAAUUGCGAAGGCAGCUUACUAAAGUAUGAUUGACGCUGAGGCACGAAAGCGUGGGGAUCAAACAGGAUUAGAUACCCUGGUAGUCCACGCCCUAAACGAUGAACACUCGAUGUUGGCGAUAUACGGUCAGCGUCUAAGCGA